GUCACUGCUCUAGGCGUAGGGAUAUGAGCGCCAUCUUGUAUGGCCAUAAACAUAACCGAGGAAACGACAGUCUCACAGAUAUUAUGAAUUUUUUUAAUCUAAGUUACUUAAAAUUAAUUAGCAGUGGUUCGAACUUGCUGCGUUAUUGGAUGUAAUGUCCGAUCACACGACCGAAACGGUAAAACGAUGGAAAACGGACUUUUGUUUCACUGUUUUUCUGCCUGUAAACAACGUGAGGAGGCUAAACUGUCGGAGCUAAACUGUCGGAGCUAACGAAAAGGAGAGGAAUGUCCUGGUAUCAGCGGUGAGACGUCCUGAUAUCACGUUCUCCAACAUCCCAAGAUAUCUACAAGUUUGCUCCAGACAUGUCCAUUCUGGUAAACGCCACGACAUCGGACCGACAUGGGCGUAAAUUAAAGAGGCGAUUCAGCAAAACCAUGGAGGAUCAACAAGUGGAUCAGCAAGUUACAGAGACUGUGUUUUCAUGAUUUACCCCAGAAGAGGGAAAUCAUGAAAACACAGCAGCGGAGGCUGUAGAAGAGGAGCGAGUUGGAGAGGCUGAGGAGGAAACACCAGGAGAGAAGCUCAGCAAGGCUGCAGACUGAAGAGGAACAGGAACCAUUUGGGUUGAAAUGUGUGUUCAGUUGGAAGUGGCUGUUUUCUCUCAUUUAAUCGUUUAAUGUGGUAAAACAUUCAUGAAACGUUUGAUUCAAGUUGCAGGUAAACAGGUGAUGAAGUGAAUCACAUUUCAAGUAAAAAUGUGAUAUCUAAAAUGUUUCAAGUAAUAAACAUAGGUGUAAUGAAAGAUUAUAUUUUAAAUAAACAUUUUAUGUGAUUAAAGUAAACAAUUAUAUUCAAUUUUGCGGUAAAAAUUUAAUGUAACAAUCAAACCAGAUGAAAGAGCCCAUCUUUAAACAUUUAAUGUGUCAUUAAACAGGUCAGUGUAAACAAUAAAGGUGACAAGUAAAUGUUAUGAAAUAAA